rnacentral:lncRNA from 10 species
UUUGGACUUGGACUUUUGGGUUAAUGCUGAAAUCAGCUAAGACUCUGGGGGGACUGCUGGAAAUGCAUGACUGUGCUCUAAAAUGUGAGGAUAUGAGAUCUGAGAGGGGCCUGGAAUAGAAUGGUAUGGUUUGGUGGUGUCCCCACUCAAAUCUCAUCUUGAAUUGUAGUUCCCAUAAUCCCCAUGUGUGAUAGCGGGGACCCUGUGGGAGAUAAUUGAAUCAUGAGGGCAGUUUCCUCCAUGCUAUUCUCACGAUAGUGAGUACGUUCUCAGGAGACCUGAUGGUUUUAAAUAAUGGGCUUCCCCUUUUACUCAGCUCUCAUUCUUCUCUUUCUUGCCAUCAUGUGAAGAAAGAUGUGCUUGUUUCCCCUUCCACCAUGAUUAUUACUCAGUCUUGGGCAGUUCUUUACAGCAGCGUGUGAAUGGACUAACACACCAGUUACAUAAAGAAUUGAAAAUAGUCAAACUCCUAGAAGCAGAGAGUGGAAUGGUGAUUACCAGGGGCUUAGGGAAGCAGGAAACCAGGAGGUACACAGCUUCUGCUAUGCAAGACGAGAUGUUGACUUUAUAGUAAAAUGUGAGUCUUCUGUAUGAGACGUAUCAUUUACUGGGAUCUUAAGUGAAUGCUCAAGGUGUGUAGUGAGGUUUCUCCACCGUUGUUAUGUCAGAACACCAACAUCCAUGAGUCCUACAGGACCUCUUGUAUCUCUGUUCAGCUGCCAACUCUGUAGCAAGUCCUCUCUGCAAGGCCUCAAGGAGUCCUUUGUGGAUGCAUGUCCAGCCCUGUACAAGGAUUCAAAUGAUAGAUCCAUGGACAACUCACUGGAUGUGGCCCUGUGAGGCACUAGAGGGAGACUGGGAGGUGGAGAGAAGAAUCAAGCCAGCCUUGUCUUCUCUUUACCCACUUCCAAUGGCAGUGGCUGUGUGAUGGCCUCAGUUUCCCCAGGGAGGCACCCACGGGCAUUUCCCGCGUAAACUCUUAGUCAAUGACUCAAGUCAUGCUAUGAGCAACAAUUUCUGUGUUCCACAUCAUCUACAAGCAACACAAUCUGUGACUCUCCAUCUGCCCCUAGUUAUGCUUUGGCCAGUAAUCCAAUUGCUACCGUCAUGCUUUCCUCUUAAAGAGUCCCUGGAUAUUCCUGCCUAGCUUGAGGGAAGUUACUUCAUUAGGGUGAUUUGGGCACUUGGGGAACCUUUGCCAUCUUUAUGACUUAAAUUUUGACUUACCAAAAUAAAUAAGACAUAUAAGGAAAGAACAUAAAUUUAAUAGAAAAAUUCAACAUAUUUCCCCGUGGAUGUCUUAUUUACAUUAAUUUGGCCUCUCCUUUCUGUCCUACUCACCCCUCCUAAAUAGAAAACAAAGUUAAUUAUUUGAUUGGCUGUAUUAGGGAAAGAAUUAGGGCUGAACCUGUUUGUCUUUUGUUCUCUGUUUAUUUGGAAAUCUGAAAUAGCAUCUAUUCUUGGAUUAUCUGUAUCAUAAAUAUUCAAGGUCAGGGAAGGCUGAAAUCUUCAGUUCAUCAAUAACCAGUUGGGUUCAAUGCAGGGGUGCUGAGCAGGAAGCCCACUUUUGCAGAGGAGGGAGCCGUUGUGUGCAAACAGCCUGAUUAGUAAUAAAGGCAGUGAUUUUGUUGUCUAUCUCUUUGGUUUCUCCCCUAUACAUUAAUUAAUUUAAAUGUGGGGUUAGGGAAGACAUUCAGUAAGUCUUUCGAAACCCUAACAACAGUUUACAGAACAAACAUCACAUUUAACACUUUUUUUUUUUUUUUGAGACAGGGUCUCACGCUGUCACCCAGGCUUGAGGGCAGUGGCACAAUCUCUGCUCACUGCAACCUCUGCCUCCCAGGAUCAGGCUAUUCUAAUGCCUCAGCCUCCAGAGUAGCUAGGAUUACAGGCACCCGCCAUCAUGCCUGGCUGAUUUUUGAAUUUUGAGUAGAGAUGGGGUUUCACCAUAUCGGCCAGGCUGGUAACAUUUAACACUCUUACUGGUAAAUUUAACACACCUAGCCAGAAUCUUUGCAUCCUUUCCUGGGAAUAUCAUGAGAAGAGACUUCAAUUUAUGAUAAUUCUCAAAGGAUAGGUAAAUGACACUUUUCGGUCACGUACCUUGAAAUCACCUCUCAAAAACAUUAAUUAUAAAAAGAAAUGCUCAUAUGAGGAGAGACAGGUAUUAUUGUGUUGCCCUAACCUGUGGCAUUUCUGUGAGAAGGUGCAAGGCCAGGUCCCCACACUGUUUAAGCAUUCAGAAGACAGCAGAUAGCAUGCUCCUCCAUAUCCAUUCACAGCUCCCAAAAAUGCAGUGGUUGGCAUCACAGCCUCAAAGCAUUCAAAAAAAUUUCCAGAAGUUUUGACUUUUCACCCAAAUGGUUUUACCAUUUUCAUCUUAAAAAGGAAGAGCUGGACCUGGCACCACACCAACCAUCAUAUCGUCCUCUUGAGUUGAUCAUUGCCCAUUGGGGAGUGAGAAGCAGGCUAUGAAAGCAAACAGCUUAGCCGUGGUUACUAGACGAGCGGUAAUAUACACCCAGAAGAGAAGGAGAUGGUAGGACCACAGAGAGCAAAGGAUGCAGCCACAGACCAAGGAAUACCACAGGCACCAGAAGCUGGAAGAGCCAAGAAAUGGAUGUUUCCCCAGAGCCUCUGGAGGGAGCAGGCCCUGCUGACACCCUGAGUUUGGCCUAGUGAAACUGACUUCAGACUUCUAGCCUUCAGAACAGGGAAACAAUACAUUUCGGGUUUGUUUAUGGCAAUUUAUCAUAGCAGCGACAGGAAAUUAACUCAUAAAUCACUGGUCCCCAUUUCCUUGCUCAGGUGAAAAAUGUCCCUUGGGUUCACUCUCUUUGGACUUUUGGGGCCCAUUAUGUGCUAGACUGACAACUGCAGGCACAGUCCAUUUUCAUUGCACAGGGGGCAUUGUCUAAACUUACCGGUUUGACUUGACAAAUAAUACAAACAAAAUAAAUUUAGUUUUGACAGACUGAAAUGAAUUGAAUUGGUUGAAGUGAACAUAAAGAACCAUAUGAUUUUUUAAAAAACUACUUCUUAUUUUUUAAAGCCCAACACAGUACUGUGGAUUAUAACAUAUGUAUACAUGUUUGUGGGUAUCUAUACAUGCACAUAUACACACACACACACACACACAUAUAUAUAUAUAUAUAUACACACAUAUAUAUAUGAAUUUUCAACCAAAAUGUGAAGAAAAUUGUAGUUAAAAAUGCCAUAAUUUAUCUUUUACUGGUAAUUUCUAACUUAUCGCUUUAAUUUUCUCUGCCUCCCAAACAUCCUUACUCAAAAAUUGGAGAAGAAAUUUUUAUUUAUCCAUCUAGCUCCUCUUUAUCAUCUUAGUCUGUUCAGCUGCAAUAUCACUACAGCAGGGAUAACACUUUUAAAUAUAAUCUGCUCUAAUCUGCAUAAUUGUCUAACAGAAAACAGACAGGUGGUGCCUUCUCAAUCAGCUUAAGGUCAGUCUCUGAAGCAAACGUCACGAACAUAUGCAAAUCGUCGGCUAAUAUGCUAAAUCAGAGGAUGUGUUUUUAUUAAGAAUUUCGAAUCUGCAAAAUGGUUUCUCCUUGUAUUAUUUUUUCCUGGAAACUUUCAGGUUUUUUCCUUUGUGCUGUAUGUUUAAGCCUGUAUGCUAAUCUUGACUUAAUCCCUAUUCAUCUUUCCAUCAUUAAACACGAUCCUGUCAUUCAGAUGUUUGAAGGCUUAAGAGUGACUGUUUCUACUCUUUUAACUGCAACAAUUUGGCAUCCUGUUUCCCAUAACUGCCAUAUCCAUGUUUUAUGGGAUUUUGAAAAGGUUUCGGGAAGUAUUUUGGACACAGGACAGCCUACUGAAUGAGACUUGGAAAGUGCCCCAAGCAAAGUGGUAGGGGCCAAGAGAAAGCCCAGAAAUGAUUCAUGGUGUGUUCACACCGUGUGGGCUGGCAAGUGCGGGAGACGGCUCUCUGCUAGCAGACUGGAACUAAAUUCUUAGACAUUCCUGGGUUGCCAAACAAUGUCAUCACAGGGGUUCCUAAAGAAGCUGUGAAUUGGAUGUCAGUGUCUUUUGGCUGAAAGGAGAGUUUGUGUCAGACCCCAAGAGGUCUCCUUAGAUACAUUUUUCUAAUUGAGGCUCCUUCUCUUCCCCUGACAAAGAAAAGCAUUGACACCUGUGUAUUCUGCGUGGGGAAGACUUUCAGCUAAGCCAGAUUCCAAGCGGGAGGUUACAGCAGGCUCGGGUGUGGUUUAUUCCCUCUGCCAGUUCAAUACUUUUACCCCACAUUUUCAAAGAAAGUGUGUGUCCUGUCUGGUCCCUGCACACCCUUCCUCCUCACCCAACACUCUGUGGUCCUACAAUUUGACUACUAUUCUUGCUGCUAGAGAGGCCAGGCUACACGGCAUCCAAAGGGGAUCCCAUCGCCACGGCAGACACUUUGGCUACGUCCUGCCCUUCUCUUUCCUUCUCUGACCUUUUAUUUCCAUGGUGAAAAUCCACAGCUCUUUAACACACUCUGCAGCAGCCCAUUUUUAGCUUAAAUAAAAGUGAAGAGAGGAUUUAGUAUUCCAAUCCCACUGCAUUAGUGUCAAAUAUGUUUAUGCUAGUAAGAGGAAAAUAAAUACAUUCUGUCAUACAGAUGCCAUUCAAAUCUAAUGGGACUCAAUUUCAUGCUUUCAAUACUGAGAGGAAGUACCCAGAUUAGCCUCAAAUCAAGAGUGAUUCCUGAAACUUCUCUAUUUGCCACAUGCUAGAUUUCCAGUUUUUUUAUUGUCUUUAUAUAUAUAUUUUUUAAUAGCAACAACACUAGAUACCAUUCUGACAUGCUUUCC